rnacentral:rRNA from 1 species
CAGCAGCCGCGGUAAUACGUAGGGAGCGAGCGUUGUCCGGAAUCAUUGGGCGUAAAGAGCUCGUAGGCGGCUUGGUAAGUCGGAUGUGAAACCUCCAGGCUCAACCUGGAGUCGCCAUCCGAUACUGCCAUAGCUAGAGUCCGGUAGGGGCCCACGGAACUCCUGGUGUAGCGGUGAAAUGCGCAGAUAUCAGGAAGAACACCGGUGGCGAAGGCGGUGGGCUGGGCCGGCACUGACGCUGAGGAGCGAAAGCGUGGGGAGCGAACAGGAUUAGAUACCCCAGUAGUCCCUGUCUCUUAUA